AAGUGCUCUUUCCUCUGCAACCCCACAGCCUGUCUACAGGGCCAGGGACUUAUUCUGCUUGUGGUGUCUAGCACAUAACAGGUCCUCAAACAAUGUUUGCUGAACUGAAAUUCUGCCCCUGAGAGGGAAUGUUAGCAAGGGAGGGAAUGUUAGCCUGUCAAGGUGCCUGGAGGAGCAGCCAGGAUCCACACGGAUAGCCCGCCGUACACGGGAAGGUCACUCCAGGAGAUCACUCAGGUCUCAAGUUGUAUUUAUUUACAGGGGAGGAGCCAUUGAAAGAAGAGGAAUAUGACCAGAGCUGGAUUUGAAAAGCUCACUUUCUGGUGGCUAUGGGGAGAGUGAUCUCGAGAGACUUACCAAUAAGCUCCCCAACACAAUGUGCUUCAUGUUUAUAAUAAGUUAAUAUGUUAUGAAGAGUAAACCAUGGUUAAU